rnacentral:rRNA from 1 species
GAGCGGCGGACGGGUGAGUAAUACUUAGGAAUCUACCUAGUAGUGGGGGAUAGCUCGGGGAAACUCGAAUUAAUACCGCAUACGACCUACGGGAGAAAGGGGGCAACUUGUUGCUCUCGCUAUUAGAUGAGCCUAAGUCGGAUUAGCUAGAUGGUGGGGUAAAGGCCUACCAUGGCGACGAUCUGUAGCUGGUCUGAGAGGAUGAUCAGCCACACCGGGACUGAGACACGGCCCGGACUCCUACGGGAGGCAGCAGUGGGGAAUAUUGGACAAUGGGGGCAACCCUGAUCCAGCCAUGCCGCGUGUGUGAAGAAGGCCUUUUGGUUGUAAAGCACUUUAAGCAGUGAAGAAGACUCUAUGGUUAAUACCCAUAGACGAUGACAUUAGCUGCAGAAUAAGCACCGGCUAACUCUGUGCCAGCAGCCGCGGUAAUACAGAGGGUGCAAGCGUUAAUCGGAAUUACUGGGCGUAAAGCGAGCGUAGGUGGCUUGAUAAGUCAGAUGUGAAAUCCCCGGGCUUAACCUGGGAACUGCAUCUGAUACUGUUAGGCUAGAGUAGGUGAGAGGAAGGUAGAAUUCCAGGUGUAGCGGUGAAA